AGUCUUAUAGUCAAUAAUGAUAUUAAAUUGCAAAUUUAAAGGAAAAUAAAAAUUUUAAGGCUU
rnacentral:tRNA from 1 species